rnacentral:rRNA from 1 species
UUGAACGCUGGCGGCAUGCCUUACACAUGCAAGUCGAACGAGAUCUUCGGAUCUAGUGGCGCACGGGUGCGUAACGCGUGGGAAUCUGCCCUUGGGUUCGGAAUAACAGUUGGAAACGACUGCUAAUACCGGAUGAUGACGUAAGUCCAAAGAUUUAUCGCCCAGGGAUGAGCCCGCGUAGGAUUAGCUAGUUGGUGGGGUAAAGGCCUACCAAGGCGACGAUCCUUAGCUGGUCUGAGAGGAUGAUCAGCCACACUGGGACUGAGACACGGCCCAGACUCCUACGGGAGGCAGCAGUAGGGAAUAUUGGACAAUGGGGGCAACCCUGAUCCAGCAAUGCCGCGUGAGUGAUGAAGGCCUUAGGGUUGUAAAGCUCUUUUACCCGAGAUGAUAAUGACAGUAGCGGGAGAAUAAGCCCCGGCUAACUCCGU